AGGCUGGGGGGAGUUUUACGACGCUCUUGGCUCGGGCGGGACUCCCAAAGCAAUCGCUCACCGGCGAACGACGCCGGGACUGCCCGCUGCCAAGUCGGGCAGCUGCAGACAGUAAGGAGGGCGGAGAACAAGGCGGGCACCGGCCUUCCCAGAGAGUGAUUGAUUUAGGGCUGCUCCGCUUCCGCCCCAGCGCCGGGCUGAGCCGGCGGUGGCCCUCUAUGUGAGGUCAUUUGCAUAUGGUGACCUCCUCUUGCCCUGUCCUGGGGCUCUUUGGGAAAGAGUUUUCUGCAAUCUUCCACAUCUAAAAUAAUUUUCUUUCCUCUCCCCCCCCCCACAAACGAAAAAAGAAAGUUUUUUUUUAACUGUCUCUGAGAGGAGCUAGAUCUAGUUAUUCAAUUAAGCAGUUGGAAGUGCCAGGGUGUCAGUGGGUCCCUUUUCCUGCCUUAACUGGCAACCCAUGCCCACAGAAGAAUGUGUCACAACAUCUUCUCUGUGCCAGCCAAGAUUGCUCAUUGCAAGCCAGCCAAUAAGCGUCCUUAAUUGAAACUGCAGCCAACGAAUGAGAACAGCUCUCCCUUCUGUGUUAUUUUGCUACCCUGGAAAAAGGGCAAUUUGCACCAUCCAUCAACUUUGGAAAAUUGGUUGGUUAAAAAGCAGUCCGUAGCAUGAGUUCCCAUGGUUGAUUGCACUGCCCUGCUCCAAUAUAUAUGGCUGGGCUCUACUGUUUGUGGAGGAGAAGCUGUCGAUCUAAUCACAGAUUUGGCGACAGGAUGAAAAGCCCAGAUCAAAAGAGUUGUUGCAAACUGUUUGGAAAAGCCUUCAAGCUUAAAAGAAUUAAGGCCUAUUUGCAACGAGAUAUAAACAGCAUCAAAGAGAAACCACAAAGACCCAAGGUUUAUAAUUGAUCUAGACCUGAAUUUGGAAUGUAGAUAGAAAUUCUGUCCAACUGGCUCCUCUACAAAGAAGAGAUGAAGAUCCAAUGGAUUUGGAAACAAAUGGACAAAUCCUAUCUGUUCUAUGACAAGAGCUAUUGUAUUUUUUGGGGGGGGGUGUCCAGAUAAAUGGAUUUUCCACCUGCCAGUUAGAAUCUUGCAAAAAAAGAAAUCUUUGCCUAUACCUGUUCCCAAACCUGGCUCUAAUAUAAAACAUCUGGAUAUUUUGACUGUUUCCCUGUCUUCCCCUCUUUGCAACUCUCCUCUUUUAUAUAGUAGUCUAAAAAGCUCAGCAGGUGUGAAAUCGACCAGAGUUAAUUAGCAAUAAAUCAUCUAAAAUUAUCUGUUCCAGGCCACUUGGUUUUUGUUUAUUGUUUCCGUGACUUGUCAGUUUCAGAAGAGCAACUGCUUUGAAGCAGAAGGAACAAAAAACAAUGGCCCUAUCUUAAGCAUUGAGCAAAUCACAGGUCCUAGGGCACAACAUUGUUUGAUCAUCAGGGAAUUUGUCUUUGUCAACAUCAGGACUGUCACUUCAUCUACUCACUCCCUCAUCUCCUAGUUGAGAAACACUGUCCUAGUUGAAGUUCAUUGUGUCAAUAGUACAGGUGUGCAGGAGGGUUGAGAAAUGAGUUAUCAUAUAAACAUCCCAAGAAUGCAAAUUGUUCAAUGUGCCCAGUUCUGUCAGAUCUCACUUAAUGAGGGGGAAAGAUAGCAUGAAUUUGAGCUCCCUAGGCCUGAAGUAUGAAGCCUAUGGUUCUUACAAAAUCUAGUAUGCCUGAGGGACAAGAGUACUUUCAACCCAUCCCUUUCAUUAUACCUGUGUGUGAAUUAGCUCCCAGAGCUUAAUUUCCAUACCUAUGCAUGUUUGACACUUCCCAGAUACUUCAAGAGAUGUCUACAGCUUGUCUGGCUUUGAUAACUUUACUUCCUUAAUUGUCAUACCACCCCCAAAAAAAGUUUUCAUUUCAUUCUUGGUGCUAAGAAGAUACUCAAGAAUGGCAAGAAGGACUUGCCCCCAAUUCUGAACAGCAGAAUACUCUUAAUGCCAAACACAGUAAAAAUAAAUAAAAAUCAACCCCUUCUGUUCUUAACUCUACUGCGUAAGCACAAAAUUUUUUGAAACUCAUGAGAUGGAGGGAAAAUUGGAAAUAAAUUUUCAGAAAGUUGUUUGGAACUGCUAGAGCUAACUCUGCUCUAGCAGACGAAGAGAAAUUAAGCAAAUAGUCAAAUGGGUAGGGAUGCAGAGACAUAAACCUGACUUUGCUCCUAUUCUUGCACUAAUCAUCUGUUAUUAGACAAUGAUAGGAUUACUCAAACAGUCUGAUAAUAAGAGUUAUCCAAGGACUAUUAGCCUAGUACAUAAGCACCAUAUUAAAAAUCUAGAAUCAGUACAGACCUAUUCCCUCUUGCUUUGUUAUUAAAUAUUUACUUUCAUGAACAGGA